rnacentral:rRNA from 1 species
AGCGAACGCUGGCGGCAGGCCUAACACAUGCCAGUCGAACGAACUCUUCGGAGUUAGUGGCGGACGGGUGAGUAACACGUGGGAACGUGCACUUUGGUUCGGAAUAACUCAGGGAAACUUGUGCUAAUACCGAAUGUGCCCUUCGGGGGAAAGAUUUAUCGCCAUUAGAGCGGCCCGCGUCUGAUUAGCUAGUUGGUGAGGUAACGGCUCACCAAGGCGACGAUCAGUAGCUGGUCUGAGAGGAUGACCAGCCACACUGGGACUGAGACACGGCCCAGACUCCUACGGGAGGCAGCAGUGGGGAAUCUUGCGCAAUGGGCGAAAGCCUGACGCAGCCAUGCCGCGUGAAUGAUGAAGGUCUUAGGAUUGUAAAAUUCUUUCACCGGGGACGAUAAUGACGGUACCCGGAGAAGAAGCCCCGGCUAACUUCGUG